AGAACGACUCUCGGCAACGGAUAUCUCGGCUCUCGCAUCGAUGAAGAACGCAGCGAAAUGCGAUACUUGGUGUGAAUUGCAGGAUCCCGCGAACCAUCGAGUCUUUGAACGCAAGUUGCGCCCGAAGCCUUCCGGCCGAGGGCACGCCUGCCUGGGUGUCACUC
rnacentral:rRNA from 1 species